GAUGAACGCUAGCGGCAGGCUUAACACGUGCAAGUCGAGGGGUAGGAGAAGCUUGCUUUUCUGAGACCGGCGCACGGGUGCGUAACGCGUAUGCAAUCUACCUUUCACAGAGGGAUAGCCCAGAGAAAUUUGGAUUAAUACCUCAUAGUAAUACGACUUGGCAUCAAGAUGUAUUUAAAGAUUUAUCGGUGAAAGAUGAGCAUGCGUCCCAUUAGCUAGUUGGUAUGGUAACGGCAUACCAAGGCAACGAUGGGUAGGGGUCCUGAGAGGGAGAUCCCCCACACUGGUACUGAGACACGGACCAGACUCCUACGGGAGGCAGCAGUGAGGAAUAUUGGACAAUGGGCGCAAGCCUGAUCCAGCCAUGCCGCGUGCAGGAUGACGGUCCUAUGGAUUGUAAACUGCUUUUAUACAGGAAGAAACACCUCUACGUGUAGAGACUUGACGGUACUGUAAGAAUAAGGAUCGGCUAACUCCGUGCCAGCAGCCGCGGUAAUACGGAGGAUCCAAGCGUUAUCCGGAAUCAUUGGGUUUAAAGGGUCCGUAGGCGGUCAGGUAAGUCAGUGGUGAAAGCCCAUCGCUCAACGGUGGAACGGCCAUUGAUACUGUCUGACUUGAAUUAUUAGGAAGUAACUAGAAUAUGUAGUGUAGCGGUGAAAUGCUUAGAGAUUACAUGGAAUACCAAUUGCGAAGGCAGGUUACUACUAAUUGAUUGACGCUGAUGGACGAAAGCGUGGGUAGCGAACAGGAUUAGAUACCCUGGUAGUCCACGCCGUAAACGAUGGAUACUAGCUGUUGGGAGCAAUCUCAGUGGCUAAGCGAAAGUGAUAAGUAUCCCACCUGGGGAGUACGAACGCAAGUUUGAAACUCAAAGGAAUUGACGGGGGCCCGCACAAGCGGUGGAGCAUGUGGUUUAAUUCGAUGAUACGCGAGGAACCUUACCAAGGCUUAAAUGUAGAUUGACCGGUUGGAAACAG
rnacentral:rRNA from 1 species